rnacentral:misc_RNA from 1 species
AACGCACAUUGCGCCCGCCAGUAUUCUGGCGGGCAUGCCUGUUCGAGCGUCAUUACAACCCUCAGGCCUCCGGGCCUGGCGUUGGGGAUCGGCGGAGCCCCCCGUGGGCACACGCCGUCCCCCAAAUACAGUGGCGGUCCCGCCGCAGCUUCCAUUGCGUAGUAGCUAACACCUCGCAACUGGAGAGCGGCGCGGCCACGCCGUAAAACAACCCAACUUCUGAAUGUUGACCUCGAAUCAGGUAGGAAUACCCGCUGAACUUAA